UAUGGCUCAGGAUGAACGCUGGCGGCGUGCCUAACACAUGCAAGUCGAACGAAGCAAUUGAAAUGAAGUUUCGGAUGGAUUUUAAUGACUGAGUGGCGGACGGGUGAGUAACGCGUGGAUAACCUGCCUCACACUGGGGGAUAACAGUUAGAAAUGACUGCUAAUACCGCAUAAGCGCACAGUGCCGCAUGGUACGGUGUGAAAAACUCCGGUGGUGUGAGAUGGAUCCGCGUCUGAUUAGCCAGUUGGCGGGGUAACGGCCCACCAAAGCGACGAUCAGUAGCCGACCUGAGAGGGUGACCGGCCACAUUGGGACUGAGACACGGCCCAAACUCCUACGGGAGGCAGCAGUGGGGAAUAUUGCACAAUGGGCGAAAGCCUGAUGCCAGCGACGCCGCGUGAGUGAAGAAGUAUUUCGGUAUGUAAAGCUCUAUCAGCAGGGAAGAAAAUGACGGUACCUGACUAAGAAGCCCCGGCUAACUACGUGCCAGCCGCAGC
rnacentral:rRNA from 1 species